GUUAGUUCAAGCAACACUGAUGAGAAACACUUUACAGGCUUUAAACAUGUACAAGCAUUUGAUAAAAUGAACAACUCAGAGCAGCAAAAGGGGAGGCAAGCAAGCGGAAAACCAUUUAGCUGUUCUGAUCAGAGUAAAAGACAAAAUCAGAAGGGCACUCUGAACAAAGGAAUGACAAUUCAGAUAGGACAAAAACAAUUUGAGUGUUCUGAAUGUGGUCGAAAAUUUGUACAAAAUAGCAACCUGAAAAAGCACAUGAUAAUUCAUACAGGACUAAAACAAUUUGAGUGUUCUGAAUGUGGUCGAAAAUUUGGACAAAAUAGCAACCUGAAAAAACACAUGAUAAUUCAUACAGGACAAAAACAGUUUGGUUGUUCUGAAUGUGGUUGAAGGCUUGGACAAAAGAGCUACCUUUAAAAGACACAUGAUAAUUAAUACAGUACAAAAAUGGUACGGUAUAUGCCCUGUCAUGCAACCUAUUGCACAACCAACAAAUUACUCUCCUCAGCAAACACAUUUCCAGCAAAGGACACCAGAACAAGCCAGUCCCUCAUGCAAAAGGAGAUGUAGAAGUCAAACUCCACCCCCAACAAAGUAGGAGUCACAUGUCACACCAACAAAUUGGGAGCUGUUCACCACAACAACAAAAAGGGAGACAUUCAUUGCACCAACAAGCUGGGAGCUAUUAACCAUCUCCACCACAAAACAAUAUACAGAUGCACCCAGACCGAGAGCAGUGGGGAUUACAAGAGGAAUUGGCUAACAAGAUUGAGGAAACAGGAGAAUAGACAUGAAAGAGCGUCCAAAACUUAUCAAAGUGAAGGUUUAAAAACUUCAAAAGUAUGCUACAGAAAGUUAACGUGGGACUGUCUAAACUGGUUCCAAAAGGAACCACAUUGACAGAAUUAAAUUGUGUAAAUUAUGGAGCGGCAUGGUACAUACAAAGUACAUUAGCUCCACAUGAUCUGGAGAGAAAAGGAACCAUAAUUAAGAGAAAGAAUACUGUGCCAGGAUGGGAAAAGACAUUACAACAAAAAAUCGGCCGCCUAAGAGCAGAGAUCUCCCAAAUGGCAACUUUUUUGGGAGGCCAAAAGCACAAAAGAAACCUUAAAAAAAAAAAAGUAAUCGUAUUAAAAGAAACUAGAAUGUUGAAGAUAAACAGCUGGGUGGGAGGCUGGCUGAACAUCAAGCCUUAGUGAAAGCUUUUGCUGCACAAAUUAGGAACAAAAACAGGAAAAUACAAGCAAAA